CAAAGAGACUCAAAGCCAGGAGGAGCCGGGUGGACCCAGAGGCCCUCACCCUGCCAGCCUAAGGGGCAUGGCCCAAGGUCUCCACCCCCAGCCCCCAGAGCACAGCUGUGUGCAGGUCACCAGAAGCCCCAAAUAAUGACAGCAGCCCAGACAGUCGCUACCGGGCCCUGGUGCAGUGUGAAGCCUCUGGCACCUGCCUGGGCUCAUUCCAGGGGCCAUGAGAGGGUCCUGUUAUGGCUGCACCAUCACACCCACCGGGCAGCUGGGGCCCAGCUCUGCCAUGGAUCCCAGCCAGGCAGCAGCCGCCCUGUGGGCUGAGAAGCUUCCGCUCCUGCUGCACAACUGCGAAGGGGCCUGGAGGGCCGGGAGCUUGUGACGGUGACAAUUCCUCCUGGCGCCUCCUCCUCCGGGGCAGCCGAGCAACCCUGGACAUGAGGGGGCUUCGUCCCACCCCCAGGAGAAAAUGCCCAGUCCUCCGAGAGUCCAGUGAGGGCUUGCCAGCCAGGGACCAAGACCCAGUAUGGCCUAAACCAGGCCUGGUCACCAGGGGUCAGGCGGGACCUUAUACAGGGCUCAGCAGAGAGACCUGCCCGCUACCCUGCUCCAGGGGAGAUGGGGGUGGGGGCCUUCAUCCCACUCGGGCAUGACAGAGGAGAGCAGCCAGCCAGCAUCUGCACGUCUCAGGCAGGGAAGGGCCUGAAGCCCUGGGAAGCAGAGGCUCCGCCCUCAGGAAACAGGUCCCGGCCUGGCUCCCUCACAGCCUCGGACUGCCCCGUGGACCGAAACCCCCAGGCACCUUGCGCCAGGACUGGCCUGAUGGUGGAGACGCCACACCAUGAGCAGUAGGUUCCUCUCCCCACCUUCCCAGGCGGGGGACACUUGGGGCUCAAACUGGGGCCUUGUGAACGGUCUCAGGCUUGCUCAGUGCCACCCGUGAAGCUCCUGGCCUUCCCCGGGCCGGUCCCUCUGCCAAGUGGGCCCUGCUGGGUCUCCCCUCCCGGAGCUGCCCCCCGUCCGCCCUUCCCCCUUGCUGCGCUGUUCACUGCUGAGGGUGCCGACUGGAACAGUUGCCCUGCCCGGGGUCUGCUGGGGGUCUACCUGUGCUCAGGGUGGGGGCUCCUCAUGCAGCCCCUCUGUCCGUGGGGGACCCUGUGAGCAGCUGCAGCUCAGCAGCAGGCUGAGGAGCCGGGUCGGGGGCCGGGAGUCCCAGCAGGCCCUGGGCUGACAUGUGCCCCCUUGCAGGUGGGUCCGAGGAGAGCACUACAGGUACAAGUUCAGCCGUCCUGGGGGCAGGCACGCCGCCGAGGGCAAGUGGUGGGUGCGGAAGAGGAUCGGAGCCUACUUCCCUCCGCUCAGCCUGGAGGAGCUGAGGCCCUACUUCAGGGACCGUGGGUGGCCUCUGCCCGGGCCCCUCUAGACGUGCACCAGAAAUAAAGGCGAAGACCCAG
rnacentral:lncRNA from 1 species